CCUAGGAAGCCUUCAUAGAAAAAUCUUCUCAACUGUAGAAUAAGAUUCUGCAAUGUAGGGACAAGAAGUACUCCUACUUUCUCCAGAAUUUUAUUGUCAAAAUGUUUCACCUCCUUACAUUGUCAGUAGGCCUAACGCCAACAGGCCUUUGGGAAGAACUGACUAGAAAGAAGACUAAUGUACAACGCAAUUAUUAAGAUAAGUUCAUGGGACAUGGAAAUGUUGGAACCUGCUGCCCCAUUCAAUUGCUACAUUGGUGGUUCAGUCUGUUUUUCCCUCUUCAGAAAAAUCAAACUCAAAAACACAGGCACAAAAGCAGCAGAGAAGAGCAUGAACAUACAUAAUCUCUUGGCUCUUCUGUGUGGGCUGGGGACAAGCAUUUUUCUGGAGCAGAAGAGUCUUGGUUUGCAGCCUGGACCUUUAAAAUCUUUUAGGCACCCCGAAGGAGAAGUGAGAGCAAAGUAAAGGAAACCUCAAAUUAUUUUUGGCAGAAACAAGGAUAUUAUCCUCUGAGUAUAAACAUUGUGUGUUGGAGAGAUGGGAGGAGGGAAAAGGACAGAUGGUAUGCAUGAGUAUGAGAGAGAGAACACAUAUAUGGCAUAUGUUUUCCCAAAUCUAAAUCCUAAAAGAAUUAUUUUCUCCAAAUUUUAAUCAUAAAAUUAUUCAGAAUAUUGCAAGCUGAAAAAUCCAUCUACCUGGAAAAUGAGCACAAAGUAAUUAAAAAUUUGCCUAGAAUUUAGUAACUGGUUCCAAUGCUACUUAACAUCACUAAAGCAACCAUCAGACCGGGUAGACACAUUAAACAAUAGGACAUCUGGAGGAUGUAAAUGAAAAAAUAGUUUAUGCUGGUGUCAGAUUUGGCCUAAGUUAACAGUUGUCCAAAACAGGCCUUUGUGCUUAUUUGCAUCAAAUAGACAUCUGUUUUUUCCUCCCAAGAUUUGAUUAGAGGAGCCAAAUUGGUACUCAUCAAAGCUGUCAGGCUAAAUCAACAUCAAUACUUACCAAAACUAUUCUCAAUUUACAGAUAUAUCAAAGAUAACAUUCAAUGAAAGGGAAGCACAAGGAAAACAAACAAACAAAGAAACAAAAGCCAUGUGGAAGGACCCCAACCUAAUAACUGCAAAAGGAGAAAUUAGGACUUAGAGGAAUUAUAUUAAUUUACUGGAAACUCAGACUUGUGUUUAAUAAACAGAAUACAUUGUGUUUGGAA